ACUCAAAUGAAUUGACGGGGGCCCGCACAAGCGGCGGAGCAUGUGGCUUAAUCCGACGCAACGCGAAGAACCUUACCAGGGUUUGACAUGCGGGGUGAAACCGUGGAAACACGGCGCUCCUUCGGGAGCUCGCACAGGUGCUGCAUGGCUGUCGUCAGCUCGUGCCGUGAGGUGUUGCCUUAAGUGGCGCAACGAGCGCAACCCCUGUCCCAUGUUGCCAGCGGGUCAUGCCGGGGACUCAUGGGAGACUGCCGGUGCCAAACCGGAGGAAGGUGGGGAUGACGUCAAGUCGUCAUGGCCUUUAUGCCCUGGGCUGCACACAUGCUACAAUGCUUGCUACAAAGGGAAGCAAUUCCGCAAGGAGGAGCGAAUCCCAAAAAAGCAAGCUCAGUUCGGAUCGAGGUCUGCAACUCGACCUCGUGAAGUCGGAGUCGCUAGUAAUCGCGGAUCAGCAACGCCGCGGUGAAUACGUUCCCGGGCCUUGCACACACCGCCCGU
rnacentral:rRNA from 1 species